UCUAGGUUGAUAUCAGAGAUGCACAUGACCUGAAGGAUCUGCAUGUGAUGCCAGUUGAGCCCCAGAAAGGCAGUGCGACCUCAGAAUUGCUGAGCAGAAAAAAGACUGCUGGAGAAGUAGCUGGAGUGAGAAUCAAGACAACCAGAUCACAGGACUGGACCUUCCAUAAUCCACGUGAUACUGGGGAGGGGGCGGAGCCUUCUCUGAGAAGCUUGGAAGUGAGCUGUGCCUGGCCAGUCUUGGGGGAGGGGCUGCAUUUCACGAGGCUGCAGCUGACAAGAAGCUUCAAGGUAAUGGCUGUCUUAAAGCUACUUAUUUUCUGGGAAUUUCUUCGGGGGUUUGGUGUUACGGUGAAAAAGAAAAAAACAACAACAACAACAACCAGACAUUGUUGCCUGGGAGAGGUAGAAAUGGAAUACGGUUUGGGGAGAAUUGCUGUUAUGGUGACAGAAUCAAUCCCAUGA
rnacentral:lncRNA from 1 species